rnacentral:rRNA from 1 species
CCUAUUUAUUUUGGCGGCAAUUAAUCUUAUUAAAGGAACUUGUUUAAUAAUCGAUACUCCACGAUAAUUUUCACUUAAAUUAAAAAUUUAUAUACCGCCAUCUUAAGAAUUAAUUUUUAAAAAUUAUUCUAAAUAACUUUUAAAAAGUUAGGUCAAGGUGUAACUUAUAUUUAAGAUUAAAUGAGUUACAUUAAAAGAUAUUUUAGGCUUAUUAAAUUAUAAUUUAAUAUAAAAAAGGAUCUAAAUGUAAUAUUAUAUUAAUAUUAUAAUAUGAAUAAG